rnacentral:rRNA from 1 species
UGGGGAAUAUUGCACAAUGGGCGAAAGCCUGAUGCAGCGACGCCGCGUGCGGGAUGAAGGCCUUCGGGUUGUAAACCGCUUUUAAUUGGGAGCAAGCGAGAGUGAGUGUACCUUUUGAAUAAGCACCGGCUAACUACGUGCCAGCAGCCGCGGUAAUACGUAGGGUGCAAGCGUUAUCCGGAAUUAUUGGGCGUAAAGAGCUCGUAGGCGGUUUGUCACGCCUGGUGUGAAAGUCCAUCGCUUAACGGUGGAUCUGCGCCGGGUACGGGCAGGCUAGAGUGCAGUAGGGGAGAUUGGAAUUCCCGGUGUAACGGUGGAAUGUGUAGAUAUCGGGAAGAACACCAAUGGCGAAGG